rnacentral:rRNA from 1 species
UACGGGGGGGGCAAGCGUUGUUCGGAUUCACUGGGCGUAAAGGGUGCGUAGGUGGCAUGGUAAGUUUGAUGUGAAAGCUCAGGGCUCAACCCUGAAAUGGCAUUGAAUACUACUGUGCUGGAGGUUUGGAGGGGGGACUGGAAUUCUCGGUGUAGCAGUGAAAUGCGUAGAUAUCGAGAGGAACACCAGUGGCGAAGGCGAGUCCCUGGACAACACCUGACACUGAGGCACGAAAGCUAGGGGAGCAAACAGG